rnacentral:rRNA from 1 species
UACGUAGGGUGCGAGCGUUAAUCGGAAUUACUGGGCGUAAAGCGUGCGUAGGCGGUUCGUUAAGUUCGUCGUGAAAGCCCCGGGCUCAACCUGGGAAUGGCGAUGGAAACUGGCGGGCUGGAGUAUGGCAGAGGGGGGUGGAAUUCCGCGUGUAGCAGUGAAAUGCGUAGAGAUGCGGAGGAACACCGAUGGCGAAGGCAGCCCCCUGGGCCAAUACUGACGCUCAUGCACGAAAGCGUGGGGAGCAAACAGG